rnacentral:rRNA from 1 species
GAUGAACGCUGGCGGCGUGCCUAAUACAUGCAAGUCGAGCGAACAGACGAGGAGCUUGCUCCUCUGACGUUAGCGGCGGACGGGUGAGUAACACGUGGAUAACCUACCUAUAAGACUGGGAUAAUUUCGGGAAACCGGAGCUAAUACCGGAUAAUAUAUUGAACCGCAUGGUUCAAUAGUGAAAGACGGUUUUGCUGUCACUUAUAGAUGGAUCCGCGCCGCAUUAGCUAGUUGGUAAGGUAACGGCUUACCAAGGCAACGAUGCGUAGCCGACCUGAGAGGGUGAUCGGCCACACUGGAACUGAGACACGGUCCAGACUCCUACGGGAGGCAGCAGUAGGGAAUCUUCCGCAAUGGGCGAAAGCUUGACGGAGCAACGCCGCGUGAGUGAUGAAGGUCUUCGGAUCGUAAAACUCUGUUAUUAGGGAAGAACAAAUGUGUAAGUAACUAUGCACGUCUUGACGGUACCUAAUCAGAAAGCCACGGCUAACUACGUG